UCUGCAGUUCUCUCGUGUCUCUCUCUACAUGUCCCUAUCAUCUUCGUCUUCUUCAUUUUUGGAGCUUCUUUUUCUUCCCAAGCUCAGGGUUCAAGACUAGGUAAAAUAUCUUCUCCCAUUUUCUUUGGUUAGCUUAUUUCUAAGAUGAGAUUAUCUAAGCAAGAUGUGUUUGUUUGUGUUGGUUGUUGCUUGAGAAAUGGAGAUGGUAAAGAAGAAGACCUGGCUUGAGGGUGGAGAUGGAAGAAUUCUUGAGGUUGAAGCUUGAGAUAUACUGUGUGAUUUUGUGGGGUUUGAAUAUCUGAUCAGUGUUGUUAAGAGAAGGAAAGCAGAGAGUAGCAGAAGCCAGCCAAUAGACCUUAGUAAAGGAUCUACACGAGAUCAGUUAUCAAGGGUCGUUGUAGUACACUGGUUAAAGAACUAGUGUGCAUUUUGUUAUGGCUGGGAUCGAAUCCCAGGGCAGCGAAUCUCUUUUAAAUAUUAGCUAAGAUGGUUUUGACUUGGAAAAUUGGUUAAGUUUGGAGCCAGUUGUAGCUGUCCUUGCUCGAAAUGAUCGGCAUCAUAGCUCGUGCAGUAUUGCCCACAAGAUCUAAGCUAACCUCAAGGAUUGAAGUGAAUCUUCGUGCAACUAGAGACAAAUAUGAAGAAAAUGAAGUGAUUAGAGCUUAGAGACCACGGUUGAAGAUCCACAAUUGUGGAAGGAAGACAAGUGUAAAUGUUGAUGCAACAAGAAGAAGUCAAACCCACCCAGUAGAUGCUUUUGAGAUCAUUGAUGAAGAGAACUUCAUGUAACAACCCAAAAGUUUAUUUUAU